GACAGAGGGUGCAAACGUUGUUCGGAAUUACUGGGCGUAAAGCGCGUGUAGGCUGCUCCGAAAGUCGGGUGUGAAAGCCCUGGGCUCAACCUAGGAAGUGCACUCGAAACUUCGGAGCUGGAGCCUGGAGAGGAAGGCGGAAUUCUCGGUGUAGAGGUGAAAUUCGUAGAUAUCGGGAGGAACACCUGUGGCGAAAGCGGCGCACUGGACCACAACUGACGCUGAGGCGCGAAAGCGUGGGUCGCGGAAAUGGG
rnacentral:rRNA from 1 species